GAUAAAUGAGCUUCAAAGGGGAAAAAUGAUGCAUCACCACAGAACAGAGCAGUGAGUCCACUUGGGAAGUUCCUCACCACUGAAAAAUGGAUGUGAACACAUCUGGAUGAAGAGACCACUUGUGGUGACCUGUGAAUGACCUGAUCAGGUCUUGGGAAUGCGGCAUGAAGGACUGAAACCAUUGGGACUGCUGUGAGAGGAACAGCUUUCUUUUUGUCGCUGGUGUAUAGAUCUCCAGAGACUUAAGGGUCUCCCUUGAAUCCUUAAGACUAUGAAGCCUCUCGUUGGUCUUAUUGGAAAAGAGAAAGGGACCUUCAAAUGGGAGGGCUUGGAUGGUUUGUUGCUCCUGUGGGGGAAGACCUGAUGAUUGCAGCCAAGAUGAACAUCACAUAAUGAUGGAGAAAGCCAUAGCUCGAGCCACAGAGUCCGCUGCAUCCAGACUUGCUUGCAAUGAUGUUUUGGAAAUUAAUUUCCCCAUCUCCCGCAUAGCACUGAACUCCUGCUUUGCCUCAUCGAGGCCUCCUUGUCUUUGAACUUCACGAUACUAUCCCACAAGCUGAAAUCGUAGAGACCCAGCAGAGCCUCUGGGUUCAUGAUC